UACUACCGAAGCUACGGCAUCAGUAAUGAUGGGUAGGGGAGCUUCCCAUACGGGUUGAAGCAUGACCGUAAGGACAUGUGGACAGUAUGGGAGUGAGAAUGUUGGCAUGAGUAGCGAGAUGUGGGUGGGAAUCCCACAGGCCGUAAACCCAAGGUUUCCAGGGGAAGGUUCGUCCACCCUGGGUUAGUCGGGACCUAAGCUGAGGCCGAAAGGCGUAGGUGAUGGACAACAGGUUGAUAUUCCUGUACUACCGAUAACCGUUUGAGAGAAGGGAUGACACAGUAGGAUAAGCUAAGCACACUGUUGGUUAUGUGUGCCCAAGCAUUGAGGCAGUCAAAGUAGGCAAAUCCGCUUUGAUAAUGCUGGGAUGUGAUGGGGAGCGAAAUUUAGUAGCGAAGUAGCUGAUUUCACACUGUCAAGAAAAGUCUCUAUCGAGGUUAAAGGUACCCGUACCGCAAACCGACACAGGUGGGUGAGG
rnacentral:rRNA from 1 species